GAUUGUUACUUUUGAUUUUUGACAUUUGUCAAUAUAAUUAGUAUUAGUAAUAUCGGGUCAUACCUAUCCAAUAGUAAUACCUUUUGACCUUGGCUAAGGUUCUUGUUAUUCCAGUGUGACCUACUUGCACUGGAUCGUUGUGAAAUGUAGAUAGUAUAGCUUCUUUUUCUUUAUCAUUAUAUAUUCCGGUCACCGGGUUGAGUUGAGCUACUCUCAAUGAUUUUAUUAUCUUGUUGCCCAUUUUUUUAAACUAUCUAUUGAAACUUGAUCAAAGAUUUUUUCCCACGGUGCCACUUUUAGUUGACUGAUUUUAUAUAUACCGGCUUGCAUUUCAAGCCUUUGGAAUAACUGACCUAAGUCGAGAACUCCGUUAAAAAAUAAAUCGCUAACACAUAUCUUGCAAUAAUUUGUUUUCCAUGUUUGAAGAAACAGGUGAUUUACGUACUUUGUCAUCAUUGAUGACUCCGUAAACAUUUGGCUUUGAAGCUUUUUCUAUAGAUUGCCUUGACAACUCUGUUUCUUUUUCUCCUGCGCAGGAUUGCUGUCUACUUUGAUAUCUUGUAGUGACUUUAUUUAUAUUUUUGUUAAUGACUUUUAGCUCUUCGAUGGUUAUUCUCGAUAACGCAUCUUCUACGUAAUUGUCUUUACCCUUUAGAUACUCUACAGUGAAGUUGUACUCUUCUAUUUCAAGUCUUAUUCGCGUGAAUUUGGAACUCGGAUUUAUCAUGGAAAAUAGGCACAUAAGUGGUCUGUGAUCUGUUUUGAUAGUAAAGUGUCUACCAUAAAUAUAUGGUCUGAAGUGUGUUAUUGCCCAAUGAAUUGCCACAACUUGGGAUCUCGCUGGCAGAAUUAUGGAGUUAUUCCCAGAACAGGAUAUUAUUGGAACAUAAAUUGGAAAUUUUAAGUUGAUUGGUCUAAUUAUAAAAUUUAUUUUUUAAUUAAAUCGAUUCCUAAUAUUUUAUCACAGGGAAAGCGAAUCGUAAAUUUACAAAAUGAAAAUUAUGUGGGAUUAUAUAUUUAGUAGUCUGUAUCUCAAUUUCGGACCGAGUGUCAGGAAAAAUAUCUGCAUUUUCUUUGAGGAUUGAUAUGUUUGCACCAGUGUCUAUUAAAAAUAAAAGUUGCUUUCCUGUUGCUACAUUUUUAAAA